rnacentral:rRNA from 1 species
GGACGAACGCUGGCGGCGUGCUUAACACAUGCAAGUGGUGCGACGAACCAGGGCUUGCCCUGGGGCAAAGCCGCGAACGGGUGAGUAACACUGGGGGGGGGAGUAAUCUGCCCCGAUGAUCGGGACAACCCGAGGAAACUCGGGCUAAUACCGGAUGAUGAGCCAUGGCGUAAGCCUUGUCUCUAAAGGAAGCUUCGGCCUCCGCAUUGGGAGGAGCUCGCGGCCCAUUAGCUUGNGGUGGGGGUAACGGCCCACCAAGGCAACGAUGGGUAGCUGGUCUGAGAGGACGAUCAGCCACGCUGGGACUGAGACACGGCCCAGACUCCUACGGGAGGCAGCAGUGGGGAAUCUUGCGCAAUGCGCGAAAGCGUGACGCAGCAACGCCGCGUGGGGGAAGACGGCCUCGG